rnacentral:rRNA from 1 species
GAUGAACGCUAGCGACAGGCUUAACACAUGCAAGUCGAGGGGCAGCGGGGUUGUAGCAAUACAACUGCCGGCGACCGGCGCACGGGUGAGUAACACGUAUGUAACCUGCCCUCUGCAGGGGGAUAAGCGGAAGAAAUUCCGUCUAAUACCGCAUAAUACAAUUUGGAGACAUCUCCGGGUUGUCAAAGGAGUGAUCCGGCAGAGGAUGGGCAUGCGGCGCAUUAGCUAGUCGGCGGGGUAACGGCCCACCGAGGCUACGAUGCGUAGGGGUUCUGAGAGGAAGGUCCCCCACACUGGUACUGAGACACGGACCAGACUCCUACGGGAGGCAGCAGUGAGGAAUAUUGGUCAAUGGGCGGAAGCCUGAACCAGCCAAGUCGCGUGAGGGAAGACGGUCCUAUGGAUUGUAAACCUCUUUUGCAGGGGAGCAAGGCGCGGUACGUGUACCGCGAAGGAGAGUACCCUGAGAAAAAGCAUCGGCUAACUCCGUGCCAGCAGCCGCGGUAAUACGGAGGAUGCGAGCGUUAUCCGGAUUUAUUGGGUUUAAAGGGUGCGCAGGCGGACUGUUAAGUCAGCGGUAAAAUGUCGGUGCUCAACACCGGCCGGCCGUUGAAACUGGCAGCCUUGAGUGAGCGAGAAGUAUGCGGAAUGCGUGGUGUAGCGGUGAAAUGCAUAGAUAUCACGCAGAACUCCGAUUGCGAAGGCAGCAUACCGGCGCUCAACUGACGCUCAGGCACGAAAGCGUGGGUAUCGAACAGGAUGAGAUACCCUGGUAGUCCACGCAGUAAACGAAGAAUGCUCUCUGUCCGGCCCGUUUUAAGGCCUGGGUGGUCAAGACGAAAGCGUUAAGCAUUCCACCUGGGGAGUUACGCCGGCAACGGUGAAACUCAAAGGAAUUGACGGGGGCCCGCACAAGCGGAGGAACAUGUGGUUUAAUUCGAUGAUACGCGAGGAACCUUACCCGGGCUCAAACGGAAGGGGACAGUAUGAGAAAUCAUACAUUCCUUCGGGACCGCUUCCGAGGUGCUGCAUGGUUGUCGUCAGCUCGUGCCGUGAGGUGUCGGCUAAGUGCCAUAACGAGCGCAACCCCUAUCGACAGUUGCUAGCAGGUAAAGCUGAGGACUCUGUCGAGACUGCCGGCGCAAGCUGUGAGGAAGGCGGGGAUGACGUUAAAUCAGCACGGCCCUUACGUCCGGGGCGACACACGUGUUACAAUGGCAGGUACAGCGGGAAGCCACCCGGCGACGGGGCGCAGAACCCGAAAACCUGUCUCAGUUCGGAUUGGAGUCUGCAACCCGACUCCAUGAAGCUGGAUUCGCUAGUAAUCGCGCAUCAGCCACGGCGCGGUGAAUACGUUCCCAAACCUUAUACACAC